UGCCAAUUGUACAGGUCCAGUGUGGAGCCUU
rnacentral:piRNA from 1 species